AACGUAAGAGACGAACGUUAUCCGGAAUUACUGAGCGUAAAGGGCGUGCAGGCGGUUUGAUAAGUUCGGCGUGAAAUUUUUCGGCUUAACCGGGAAAUGUCGUCGGAGACUGUCGGACUAGAGGGUGAUAGAGACGUGUGGAAUUCCGAGUGUAGUGGUGAAAUGCGUAGAGAUCCGGAGGAACACCAAUGGCGAAGACGACGCGCUAGAUCACAUCUGACGCUAAGACGCGACAGCAUGGAGAGCGAACGGG
rnacentral:rRNA from 1 species